UGGCCUCGGACCCCCUCCCCCGCUCCCGAGUCGACUUGGCUACAGUACAGUGUUCAACAUGUACGCUAAGGGGAAGGGCUCGUCCGUGCCCUCCGAUGCGCAAGCCAGGGAGAAAUUGGCGUUAUAUGUGUACGAAUAUUUACUACACGUUGGUGCCCAGAAAGCUGCACAGACCUUCCUUUCUGAGAUAAGAUGGGAGAAAAAUAUAACUUUAGGAGAGCCGCCGGGGUUCCUGCACUCCUGGUGGUGUGUGUUCUGGGACCUGUAUUGUGCGGCACCGGAGAGGCGGGACACGUGUGAACACUCGAGUGAAGCCAAAGCCUUCCACGACUAUGGAUUUGUAAACUCAGGCUAUGGAGUCAACGGUAUAGCUCAUGUAAGUAGCCAGUCCUGCCCCCAACCUGUACUGCCGGGGAAUGCUGGCCCCGCACCAUCACCGUUAGGUCAGAUGCCUCCUAGUGACGGCAUGGGUCCAGGAGGUCCUAUGCCGCCUGGCUUCUUUCCGCCAUUCAUGUCUCCACGAUAUCCAGGCGGGCCUCGGCCGGGAGUUAGGAUGCCACAGAUGCACAACGACUUCAACGGGCCUCCAGGACAACCGAUUAUGCCCAACAGUAUGGACCCCACUCGUCAGGGAGAUGGAGACUUUGUUGGUUGGCAAGGUAGGAACUCGCCUGGCAAGUUCCCUCUCCACCAAUCAGAUCUUGGAUUGAUCCAUCUCCAUCAGUCAGAGCUCAGGAGUCCACCCGGGAUGAACCCCCGAAUGGCAGGUCCACGAGGACCAGCCAUGGGACCAGGACCAGGUAUGGGUCCCAUGGGUCCAGGAGCAUAUGCCCCAGGAAUGAGGGGACCACCACCUAGCAGUAUGGGUCCUGCUGGGCCAGGUGGACCAGGAGGACCAGGACCUGGGGGCCCUGGGCCAGGCAUGCCUCCAAUGACUAUGGGAGGGCCUGGCCCUAGACAACCAUGGACGCCAAACACAUCUACCCCUAUGAGUUACUCCUCGUCCUCACCUGGGACCUACGGUGGCAUGAUGGGUCCACCGGGGUCUGCUGGCCCACCUGGUCCUGGCACACCCAUCAUGCCCAGUCCUCAAGGGUCGAGUGGAGCUUUCUCUCCCGCCCGCCUGCCUCCCACCCCGCGGCCAGACACAUCAAGCAGUGGGGCUGAUGGAAUGUUCCCAAUGAUGAAGCCAGUACCUGGAGGAGGGAUGCCUGGGGACUUCCCUCUGGGUAGUGGCCCUGAUGGGCCCAUGGGUGGCCCUAUGGGCCCCAACACCAUGGGGCCUGUUAUGAAUGGUGAUGGCUUGGAUGGCAUGAAGAACUCACCUGCUAAUGGUCCUGGGACGCCGCGGGACGACGGAGGCGGCAUGGGGGACUACAAUCUGGGAGGCUUCGGGGGCCCACAGGAGAGUGACUUAAACAGCCGUGAAAGCAACUUAGGCAUCAUUUGAAAGCAGGCGUGACAAUGGUUGCGUGAGGACCAAGUUUAGAGUGCGACUUAACUGAAUGUGUCUUACAAGUGUGUGAUACAGAACUAAGGACCAGAAUGAGUCGGCUGCCAUUUUAAAGAUCAAGGAGAGUAUGCAAGAAGAAGCAAAGCGAUUUGAAAAGGACGUUCCACCAGAUCAUCCAGACUACUUUAUGCCGUGACGUGACCCUCUCCCAUCCCCACUUUACCCUGUGAACUAGCUCUCUCAGCUCCCUGCAGAACCUGUGACAUGGCAUUAGUUUGGGAUUGACCUUUCCCUCAUCCCAGAUGCUGAGGACAUGUCAAAGCUCGGUAAUGAGGGCAAUGCGUGAGUGCAGAAAUGUGGUGACUGUGUCUGCACAGUGACAGUUUGCCACACAAUUAUGGUGAUGUGAUUCUGUGUGCGGUGGAGUGACGAUGGGACGACGGGUCCUUACUGACUCUCUCGAGGAACUGGCGUGUCAGCCCUCAACACAAUUCUCAUCAAGUGAAUCAAAACGCAGAACUCCUGUGAUGGAGUGCUAUCCUACUGUGGAAUUUAACAUGUGAUUAGAAACACUAGUGAUUUAUCUUACAAAGUCUGGAAAAGCAGGAUGAGCACUAAGAAAAGGCUUUAUGUAUGACUUCUUGCAUACACCUUAUUAAGAGAAGUGAAAAGAUGGCUCUGAUUUCUGCUGUUUGAUGAUAAGUCUGUUGUGUCAUUCAUUGUGCUUUCUAUGUGAAUCUUGUAGGAAACAAAAUUACUAUCAAUAUUAUUUAAUAUGUUUUCUCAAUUUCACUCAUUUAAGACCCAAGAUCCAUAACCUGAACAGCAGUGUCAGGAGACUAGGGCAGCCAAGGGUAGGAUGGAGAUGUAGAUAUUUUCAUAGACCGUCAUUGCUCAUGGGUGGUGUCCGCACGCCUCAACUGGACAACCAGUGCUGCCUGUCUCCUGGCUGGACCCUUGUAGGAGUGCCCAUGGUUUUCCUCUCUCCAGAGAAAGCCCUCCCCCUCCCCCCCCCCAGUCCCAGGCACCAGCAGUCCCCCAUCACUACCACCAACGUCACCCUGGGACGUGCUCCUGGGAAGGACCGACCCCCCAGGGUAUUGGCCCUGAGCCAGCUGGAACCUACUCACUUAGGGGCCAGCACUCAUGUACAAAUCCCCCAGCCUGGGACCUCUGGGACCUUGGCACGUGAUCUGCCCUCCACAUGUGCAAAAGACAGCAAUGUCUGUUCUCACUAGUAUUACUCAGACUCUGUUCUGGCCUCAGGCCCAACUCAUGUAAUAUCAGAUGGGAAGUCUUUUAUUCAGACUACUUUGUGUUAGCUUACCUACUGGACUGGAAGUGAUGACCUGUCUCUAUUCUGUACAGAUCUAUCCAAGUGUUGUAGAUGUAGGAAUAAUUUAUUAUUUGUCAUGUCCAAAUCUAUCACUUUACCUUUCUUCUAGACUCCCUAUGUUAAACCGUUUUAACCACAAUGGCCACCCCACCCCUCUGUCCAUGACCCAACACCACCAUUAUUACCUCCUUUAUCACCACCACCGCCACUAUCACCUCUACCACCACCUCACCACCACCACCUCACCACCACCUCACCACCACAAUUACCACCAAAACCCUUGGUCCAGCAGUGUGAUUUACUUCACUGCUGCCCAUUCAACCAGAGCCAAAUGUAAAUCACUGAAAAUUAUCGCCCAGGAUGCACCACCACCGCCAGACUCGACCACCACACCUGGGGUGUUUACUCUCCUUAAAACAUUCUUGUAUUUAGAAUCAUCUUGGCUACAUAAUUGUAUCAUCAACUUGUAACAUACUUGAGAGAAUUCACUACCUUAUAUGUGUGAUACAGUGACCUGUUAUUAAUUUAUUGACUCAGCCUUUAAUCUGACUUGAUCACACAACACGUAGAUAGUCACAAGACACUUCACAGCCUAGGUUGACCUUACCUACUCAACAAGAACCUUCAUCAUGGCCUAGGUUAAAUCACCCUUUCAUCAAUAACAAACUGACUCAUGACCCAGUUCAAUUGACUGGGUGUGACCCCGGGUGUACUGUACGUCGCUCUGGUGGUGCGACCGCUCGGCCCGGUUUGUCUGUUCUGACCAAGACCCCCUUGUACAGUAGAACAUAGCAGAUAUAUUAUGUGUAGCAAUUUUCAAUAAAAUGGCUAAGGCAAUAAGACA